rnacentral:rRNA from 1 species
AACGAACGCUGGCGGCAGGCUUAACACAUGCAAGUCGAGCGCCCCGCAAGGGGAGCGGCAGACGGGUGAGUAACGCGUGGGAACGUACCCUUAUCUUCGUGAUAGCUCCGGGAAACUGGAAUUAAUACCGAAUGUGCCCUUUGGUGGAAAGAUUUAUCGGAUAAGGAUCGGCCCGCGUUGGAUUAGCUAGUUGGUGGGGUAAAGGCCUACCAAGGCGACGAUCCAUAGCUGGUCUGGGAGGAUGAUCAGCCACAUUGGGACUGAGACACGGCCCAAACUCCUACGGGAGGCAGCAGUGGGGAAUAUUGGACAAUGGGCGCAAGCAUGAUCCAGCCAUGACGCGUGAGUGAUGAAGGCCUUAGGGUUGUAAAGCUCUUUCACCGGAGAAGAUAAUGACGGUAUCCGGAGAAGAAGCCCCGGCUAACUUCGUG